CCUACGGGAGGCAGCAGUGAGGAAUAUUGGUCAAUGGGCGGGAGCCUGAACCAGCCAAGUCGCGUGAGGGAAGACGGUCCUAUGGAUUGUAAACCUCUUUAGUCGGGGAGCAAUGCCUGGCACGUGUGCCCGGAUGGAGAGUACCCGCAGAUUAAGCAUCGGCUAACUCCGUGCCAGCAGCCGCGGUAAUACGGAGGAUGCGAGCGUGAUCCGGAUUUAUGGGGUUAAAGGGGUGCGUAGGCGGAUUUUUAAGUCAGCGGUAAAAUGUCCGGGCUCAACCCGGGCCGGCCGUUGAAACUGGGGAUCUUGAGUGGGCGAGAAGUAGGCGGAAUGCGUGGUGUAGCGGUGAAAUGCAUAGAUAUCACGCAGAACUCCGAUUGCGAAGGCAGCAUACCGGAGCCCGACUGACGCUGAGGCACGAAAGCGUGGGGAUCGAACAGGAUUAGAUACCCGUGUAGUC
rnacentral:rRNA from 1 species